rnacentral:rRNA from 1 species
UACGAGGGGGGCAAGCGUUGUUCGGAAUUAUUGGGCGUAAAGAGCUCGUAGGCGGUUUGUCGCGUCUGCCGUGAAAGUCCGGGGCUCAACUCCGGAUCUGCGGUGGGUACGGGCAGACUAGAGUGAUGUAGGGGAGACUGGAAUUCCUGGUGUAGCGGUGAAAUGCGCAGAUAUCAGGAGGAACACCGAUGGCGAAGGCAGGUCUCUGGGCAUUAACUGACGCUGAGGAGCGAAAGCAUGGGGAGCGAACAGGAUUAGAUACCCUUUAGUCC